UACGUAGGGUGCAAGCGUUGUCCGGAAUUAUUGGGCGUAAAGAGCUCGUAGGCGGUCUGUCGCGUCGGCUGUGAAAACUCGGGGCUCAACUCCGAGCUUGCAGUCGAUACGGGCAGGCUAGAGUUCGGCAGGGGAGACUGGAAUUCCUGGUGUAGCGGUGAAAUGCGCAGAUAUCAGGAGGAACACCGGUGGCGAAGGCGGGUCUCUGGGCCGAUACUGACGCUGAGGCGCGACAGCGUGGGGGAGCAAACAGG
rnacentral:rRNA from 1 species